ACGAACCGAGCGAACGUUGUUCGGAAUCACUGGGCUUAAAGGGCGCGUAGGCGGGUGACUAAGUCUGUGGUGAAAUCCGGCAGCUUAACUGUCGAAUUGCCAUGGAUACUGGUUGUCUCGAGGGAGGCAGGGGUGCGCGGAACUAAUGGUGGAGCGGUGAAAUGCGUUGAUAUCAUUAGGAACUCCGGUGGCGAAGGCGGCGCACUGGUCCUCUUCUGACGCUGAGGCGCGAAAGCCAGGGGAGCAAACGGGAUUAGAUACCCCGGUAGUCCUGGCCCUAAACGUUGGGUACUAGAUAGUAGGGUUCACAUGGCUUUACUGUCGAAGCAAAAGUGCUAAGUACCCCGCCUGGGGAGUAUGGUCGCAAGGCUG
rnacentral:rRNA from 1 species